GAUGAACGCUGGCGGCGUGCCUAAUACAUGCAAGUCGAGCGAACGGACGAGAAGCUUGCUUCUCUGAUGUUAGCGGCGGACGGGUGAGUAACACGUGGAUAACCUACCUAUAAGACUGGGAUACCUUCGGGAAACCGGAGCUAAUACCGGAUAAUAUUUUGAACCGCAUGGUUCAAAAGUGAAAGACGGUCUUGCUGUCACUUAUAGAUGGAUCCGCGCUGCAUUAGCUAGUUGGUAAGGUAACGGCUUACCCAGGCAACGAUGCAUAGCCGACCUGAGAGGGGGAUCGGCCACACUGGAACUGAGACACGGUCCAGACUCCUACGGGAGGCAGCAGUAGGGAAUCUUCCGCAAUGGGCGAAAGCCUGACGGAGCAACGCCGCGUGAGUGAUGAAGGUCUUCGGAUCGUAAAGCUCUGUUAUUAGGGAAGAACAUAUGUGUAAGUAACUGUGCACAUCUUGACGGUACCUAAUCAGAAAGCCACGGCUAACUACGUG
rnacentral:rRNA from 1 species